CCUACGGGAGGCAGCAGUGAGGAAUAUUGGUCAAUGGACGAGAGUCUGAACCAGCCAAGUAGCGUGAAGGAUGACUGCCCUACGGGUUGUAAACUUCUUUUAUAUGGGAAUAACAUGUUCCACGUGUGGGAUUUUGUAUGUUCCCUAUGAAUAAGGAUCGGCUAACUCCGUGCCAGCAGCCGCGGUAAUACGGAGGAUCCGAGCGUUACCCGGAUUUUUUGGGUUUAAAGGGGUCGUAGGUGGGUUGGUAAGUCAGUUGGGAAAGUUUGCGGCUCAACCGUAAAAUUGCAGUUGAAACUGGCAGUCUUGAGUGCAGGAGAGGUGUGCGGAAUGCGUGGUGUAGCGGUGAAAUGCUGAGAUAUCACGAAGAACCCCGAUUGCGAAGGCAGCACACCGGACUGCAACUGACACUGAGGCUCGAAAGUGUGGGGAUCGAACAGGAUUAGAUACCCGAGUAGUC
rnacentral:rRNA from 1 species